rnacentral:tRNA from 1 species
GCCCAGGUGGCUCAGUUGGUUAAGCAUCUGACUUCAGCUCAGGUCAUGAUCUCACGGUUCAUGGGUUCAAGUCCCAUGUCAGGCU